rnacentral:rRNA from 1 species
CCUACGGGUGGCAGCAGUAGGGAAUCUUCCACAAUGGGCGAAAGCCUGAUGGAGCAACGCCGCGUGGGUGAAGAAGGUCUUCGGAUCGUAAAACCCUGUUGUUAGAGAAGAAAGUGCGUGAGAGUAACUGUUCACGUUUCGACGGUAUCUAACCAGAAAGCCACGGCUAACUACGUGCCAGCAGCCGCGGUAAUACGUAGGUGGCAAGCGUUAUCCGGAUUUAGUGGGCGUAAAGGGAACGCAGGCGGUCUUUUAAGUCUGAUGUGAAAGCCUUCGGCUUAACCGCAGUAGUGCAUUGGAAACUGGGAGACUUGAGUGCAGAAGAGGAGAGCGGAACUCCAGGUGUAGCGGUGAAAUGCGUAGAUAUAUGGAAGAACACCAGUGGCGAAGGCGGCUUUCUGGUCUGUAACUGACGCUGAGGUUCGAAAGCGUGGGUAGCAAACAGGAUUAGAUACCCUUGUAGUC